AAGGUAGCUUGCUACUGGACCUAGCGGCGGACGGGUGAGUAAUGCUUAGGAAUCUGCCUAUUAGCGGGGGACAACAUUCCGAAAGGAAUGCUAAUACCGCAUACGCCCUACGGGGGAAAGCAGGGGAUCUUCGGACCUUGCGCUAAUAGAUGAGCCUAAGUCGGAUUAGCUAGUUGGUGGGGUAAAGGCCUACCAAGGCGACGAUCUGUAGCGGGUCUGAGAGGAUGAUCCGCCACACUGGGACUGAGACACGGCCCAGACUCCUACGGGAGGCAGCAGUGGGGAAUAUUGGACAAUGGGCGGAAGCCUGAUCCAGCCAUGCCGCGUGUGUGAAGAAGGCCUUUUGGUUGUAAAGCACUUUAAGCGAGGAGGAGGCUCCUUUAGUUAAUACCUAAAGUGAGUGGACGUUACUCGCAGAAUAAGCACCGGCUAACUCUGUGCCAGCAGCCGCGGUAAUACAGAGGGUGCGAGCGUUAAUCGGAUUUACUGGGCGUAAAGCGUGCGUAGGCGGCUUUUUAAGUCGGAUGUGAAAUCCCUGAGCUUAACUUAGGAAUUGCAUUCGAUACUGGAAAGCUAGAGUAUGGGAGAGGAUGGUAGAAUUCCAGGUGUAGCGGUGAAAUGCGUAGAGAUCUGGAGGAAUACCGAUGGCGAAGGCAGCCAUCUGGCCUAAUACUGACGCUGAGGUACGAAAGCAUGGGGAGCAAACAGGAUUAGAUACCCUGGUAGUCCAUGCCGUAAACGAUGUCUACUAGCCGUUGGGGCCUUUGAGGCUUUAGUGGCGCAGCU
rnacentral:rRNA from 1 species